rnacentral:snRNA from 1 species
GUGCUUGCUUUGGCAGCACAUAUACUAAAAUUGGAAUAAUUAGCCUGGCCCCCAUGCAAGGAUGACCCGCAGAUUUGUAAAGUAAUAGGAUGGAAA